GGCAAACGAUCAGGCAUUUAAUUUAAUUUUUUAUGAGGCAGAGCUAUGGCCAUGUUGGAUAAUGACCUUCUUCCUAUAACAUGUCGUUGACAUCUUGCUUAUUCAUGGAAUAUUUUUUUGUACACUGCCUGGUGUUUCAGAAAUUACUGCAUUGAACGAACCGUUGAGCAUAUGCCACUGUGCAUGCUCAUAGUUCGCAGGCCAUCUGCGCAGGCCCACAUCACAGUGUCUCGUGCGAGAAUAAACAAAGCUUGAGUCUUCACAGCUGCCCACAAUCAGUGGGAGUAUAUCAGACCCUUCUCUCCUUCAGUCUGUGCUUGACUGUAAUGGCUUUGCCAAAUAGUUCCGCCUUAGCCUUUGUGCCUUGCAUCGAGUGUUCCGAUUACAGCUAAAAUCAGUCAAGCUGACUUUAACAAGGCCAUGGAGGGGCUGGAUAGGAACCCUGAUGAAGAGAUCAGCUUCAGAGAGUUUUCUGUGUGUGGAUUUCACUGA